UAGUGGCGAACGGGUGAGUAACACGUGGGCAAUCUGCCCUGCACUCUGGGACAAGCCCUGGAAACGGGGUCUAAUACCGGAUACGAGUUUCACAGGCAUCUGUGAUUCUGGAAAGCUCCGGCGGUGCAGGAUGAGCCCGCGGCCUAUCAGCUUGUUGGUGAGGUAACGCCUCACCAAGGCGACGACGGGUAGCCGGCCUGAGAGGGCGACCGGCCACACUGGGACUGAGACACGGCCCAGACUCCUACGGGAGGCAGCAGUGGGGAAUAUUGCACAAUGGGCGAAAGCCUGAUGCAGCGACGCCGCGUGAGGGAUGACGGCCUUCGGGUUGUAAACCUCUUUCAGCAGGGAAGAAGCGAGAGUGACGGUACCUGCAGAAGAAGCGCCGGCUAACUACGUGCCAGCAGCCGCGGUAAUACGUAGGGCGCAAGCGUUGUCCGGAAUUAUUGGGCGUAAAGAGCUCGUAGGCGGCUUGUCGCGUCGGUUGUGAAAGCCCGGGGCUUAACCCCGGGUCUGCAGUCGAUACGGGCAGGCUAGAGUUCGGGNGGGGGAGAUCGGAAUUCCU
rnacentral:rRNA from 1 species